rfam:Puccinia triticina 1-1 BBBD Race 1 supercont2.9470, whole genome shotgun sequence.
GACUCCAUGGCGCAAUGGUAGCGCGUUCGACUCCAGAAACGGUCAUCGAAAGGUUGCGUGUUCAAGUCACGUUGGGGUCA